CACGUAGGGCGCAAGCGUUGUCCGGAAUUAUUGGGCGUAAAGAGCUCGUAGGCGGUCUGUUACGUCUGCUGUGAAAACCCAGGGCUUAACCCUGGGCUUGCAGUGGAUACGGGCAGACUAGAGGCAGGUAGGGGAGAAUGGAAUUCCCGGUGUAGCGGUGAAAUGCGCAGAUAUCGGGAGGAACACCGGUGGCGAAGGCGGUUCUCUGGGCCUGACCUGACGCUGAGGAGCGAAAGCGUGGGGAGCAAACGGG
rnacentral:rRNA from 1 species